GGCGGGCGGCCGGGGUGAGUGUGAGUGUGAGAGUGAGAACAGCCCGGCAGGUCCCGAGGCGUUAGCUGGGGACUCUGCUGCGGAAAGUUCCCAAUCCCCAGCCGCAGGUAAUGGAGAGGGAAUAGAGAGGUUCCCCUGUUUGCAUCAGCAAAUGCGAAAACAUAAUAGCAACAGCAGCGGUAUCCUCUCUCCGGAGCGGGGUUUCCAAUGACGCUAACAUUCUUUUUCCUUUAAGUAUUGAAUGGUCCCCUGCGGCUUCCUGGUAAUGAAUGACCUGAGAGUAACACCGCCACAACCUGCGAGAAAAGGAGAGCCCUUUCCCCAACCCGAGAUCUGCAGGAUUGAAAUGAAAUAUUUAGAGUUCUUCCAGCUGACUCAUCAGAACCCUGGAGCAUUUUUUAAAUGACGAAAUGGAAGAAAAAAAUUUAAAUUGUCAAUAAGAAGUCUUUUGAACACCAGA
rnacentral:lncRNA from 1 species